CAACCCUCGAACCCCCCCGGGGGUCCGGCGUUGGGGAUCGGCCGCCUGCCGGCCGGCCCCGAAAUACAGUGGCGGUCUCGCCGCAGCCUCUCCUGCGCAGUAGUUUGCACACUCGCACCGGGAGCGCGGCGCGUCCACGGCCGUAAAACACCCCAAACUUCUGAAAGG
rnacentral:misc_RNA from 1 species